CAAAUGAAUUUAUCACAUCUGUACUCAAUGGUUUUAAAUGAUUUAUCUCUGGCUGAUUUUUUCAUUUCUUUUUUAUUAUUACACUGCUUCAUCACAGGGAUAUUUAUGAUAUUGUGACAUUUUACACAUUCAAUAACUUUUAAUCUAAGGAUCAUUAUUUCCAUAAGAACAACUGGUAAUUCCGAUUAGGAUAUAUUAGGUAUUGACUAGGAGUAGAAAUCUCUAGCUAUCCAAAUAUAUAGAGGAUGAGUGUGUACUAAACAGAAAAUGCUCUAAUAUUUAUUUUUAUUGUUUCCAGAGUCCAUAGUCCAAAACACAUGCAUUCAAACUGUGAGUACAUGGUACCUUACAGAAUAUGAAAUUCAACAUACUAACUGCAGGAACAUACAGGAAUGCAAUUCUACCAAAUAGCAUUAAAAUAGCUUAUUUAAUUGAAGUAAGAGAAGGAAUGGGAGGUUAAAAUUCACUCUAAAUUAUUUAUGUAAACUUUUAUGUAAUUAAUCUAAUUCAGAACAAUCUGUAAGAAUGGCCUUCUCUCCCCAUUACAUUUGCACCCUGACCCAAAAGUAUGGCAGUUCUCUAAUAAAGGAAGUACAUAUGAAGCUAUAAUUCCCUAGUAAAAUCUCAAUUUUCCUUCUUUAGAAUGUGUUGACAAACAAUAUGAAAUGAUUACUGCUCAGUUAAUCAUUAAAUGAUUAACCUACUCAAACUUUUGAUAUUUGAAAUUUUCUUAGAGUACACAUAUAUUUUUUAAUAAAAUUAAAUUUACUGAAAUACACUUAUCUAAGAAUUAGAAAACUUAACUAAUCUUUACAAUCAAUGUUUUAUGAUAUGUAAAUAAAAUUUGAUGAAGUUAGUUAUAAUUUCACAGGUCUUUCUCAGACUCAGGUUUUCCUUUGAUUACACAUAGCAUACCUGCCUUGUUACCUACCACUAUCUUUGUACAGUAGAUUUUGAAACCAGACAACAGAUUUAAAGAUAUAUUUCAAGUGAACUUACUGCAUACCAAAUUAGUAGCAAGUUUUCUUGUGUCAGGAUCAUUUAAAAGUUUUCCAACUUGUAAUAAGGGUUAGGGAAAAUAUCAAACAAAUAUGGCAAAACAUUGAUGGUUUUUCACUUAGAUAAUGGGUUUACAGAGUCUUGAACACUUUGCCAGGACUUUUUCCUUCUUAUAAAGUAAAAAGAGAAAAUGUGACUAGUAUCAUGGAUGGAAAUAUACUACCUGAAUAAACUGACUGUAAUCUAGAGAAAGAAGUUCAGUUACUACUUUGUCUCUCGUCUUUUCCAUUCUUUUUCAAUUGUUACUUUUGGGAACAAGUCAAAGAAAAAUAUUUGAAUUCAAGUCCUCUUGUGGCUAAGUGUACCAAUGGAAAAAAGAGAAUUGAGGAGUCUUUAAAUAAUUGGAACCAGUAAAUUAAGGCCACAAAAACUUAUUCUUCAUUAAGUGACUAAUCUUUUUUUGUUCUUAUCUGAAACUGUGGAUAAUUGACUUGAUGAGUACUAGCAUGCCUGGUAGCUACUGCCAGGAACAAUAAACACUCUGGUAUAAUUAUAAUUUGGUCACCUCUUAUCAAGGGAUUAUUAUAAAUUUCUUCCUUUUGCAAGUUUUAAUUAAUUAACUUUUAGAGAAUUAGGAAGUAUAUUUUCCAGUAUUUUCUACUAAAGGACAAAAAGAGGAGAUGGAAGAUGACUUGGAGUUCCUAAACAUGUAGCCUCCAUUGUCAUGAGUUUAUACAGUCUACACAUUCAAAUGAAUGUUUUGUCUUCUAAGUAGUUACUCUGGGAGACAACAUGAUAUUUUUGAAGUUCACAUUCCUUUGGAAAUAAAUUUAUUUUCUAUGUAAAAUAUUUCUAAUAUGAUCAAAGGGGCAAAUUCUCAUCAUGAUUUUGGCUUCUGAAAAUAAAUAAAAGUUAGUAAUUUGUGUUAAGCCCAAUGAAUAAGAUGAAUGGACAAACCUAGUAACUGAGACCUAAGUGAAAGACAAAUGCUACUGUAAAUAAAUGGGGCUUAUUAUCUUUCACGUCAUGUGAUUUGAGUCUGGAAUUACACCCAGGACUAGGCUGUUAGCAAAUAUAUGGCAUCACUUAAUGAUUAAGCUUAAUGGAACACAGACAUAGAAGGAAAAAUAAAUAAAAUUGCCACAUUUUUCUUGACCCCAAUUCUAAAAUAUUAUCUUCUCAUGUCAAUAUCUAUCUACUAGUGUGGAUAAGAGUAUGCCUGAGGAAGACAACGCAGAACUACAGUCAUUUCUAUACCCAGCAGCAUAGGAAUUUAUACUUUUUUAAAAUUAUUUUUAGUCCAAUGGUUCUGUCUUGUGGGUUGCAAGAUCUGCUACUACACAGAGCCUCUAUCCAAAAGAAGCAACCACAUUAUUCUUUAAAUAUAUAUAUCUCAUAUAUAUAUAUAUAUAUCACAAUAACCCAAAAUCUCUGGUGGAAAACCAAAGCAUUUCAAAGGGAUAAGUUUAUAGUGAUAGAAACCUAAAAUUUUAAAUAAGCAGCAUUACCUUACAACUAAAGGGAUUAGAUAAAGAAGAACAAAAACUAAAAAUUAAUGGAAGAAUAUUAAGCAUCGAAACAGAAAUAAAUGAUAGAGACCCUAAAAAUACAUAGAAAAUAAUCAAUGAAGCUAGGAGCUCUUUCUUUGAAAAGGAAAAUAAUAUUCAUAAAGCUUUAGUUAGACUCAUCAAGAAAAAACGGAGUUCCUGCUGUGUCUUAAUAGGUUACUAACUCAACCAGUAUACAUGAGGAUGCAGAUUUGAUCCCUGGCCUCACUCAGUCAGUGCGUUAAGGAACUGGUGUUGCCCUGACUGUGGCAUAGGCCAUGAGCUACACCUCCAAUUCAAUUCAACCUCUAGCCUGGGAACUUCCAUAUGCUGCAAAUGCAGUCUUUAAAAAAAAAAGAAAAAGAAAAAGAAAGAAAGAGAAAGAGGGGUUUACAAUAAAACAAAGCAAAAACAAUAAAACAAAAUAAUAAAAUUGAAAAUGAAGAGAUUGGGGGUUGGAGCAAGAUGGCAGAGGAAUAAGAAGUCACGCUCAACAUCUCCCACAAACAUAUCAAAAAACACAUCUACAUGCAAAAUGAGAACAUCAACACAGAACAUCAACUGUAUGCUGGCAGAAGAACUCAAACCUCAAAAAAGCGCAAGAAACUCUUGACAUAACUGGGUAGAACAAAAGAAAAAAAGAGAAAGAGAGAGAUAGAAAAUGAAUCAGGACUGCACUAGCAUUCCAGAGAGGGAGCUAUGAAGAAGAAAAUGAACCCACACCCUGGGAAGCCACCUAAUGGACAGAAAGAUUAGCCAAGCUGGAAGGACCUCAAAGUCACCGAGAAAAGUGCAGCAGUAGGUCUGAGAAAGGAAAAGCAGAGUGAGGGCUGCACAGAUCAUCUGAACCACUGAUACAGACACCAUGGCCUGAGACACCCUUGUGGGCUGGGUGCUGAGACUUAGGCUCCAGAGGUUAGUCCCCAGAAGAGGGCUAGUGUUGGCAGUGUGGAGAAAGCCUAAGGGGCUAAGGAGCAGAGCAGGACAGGUGGGGGAGCGGUACACUAUGGGCUGGGGAGUGGAAAGCUAUGGCAGAGGGAACCCAGGAGAAGGUCCAGACCUGCAGGAGAGGCAAGGUGCCAUUGUUGGGAAGGACGAGAAGAGGAGGGGCAGACCGCACUAGGAAAUAAUUUGUGACCGAGUGUGCACAUAUGCCCAUGGGCUUACAGAGGGUGAGGCAGUGCUGGUGCAGGCCACCCAGGGACAGAAGCUGCUUGCUUGCCUGUGGGAGACUGGGCAUCUCCAGUGCAGCCCGCCCAUGACCAGAAGCUGCUUCCUAGUCUGCGACGGACUGCACAUCUCUGGCAUGGACUUCCAGAGGCCGGAAGCUGCUGCUAGCCCAGAGUAGACUGGGGAUCUCUGGCGCAGGCCUCCUGUGGCUGGAAUGGCCAGGCACCUCUAGUGUAGGCUAAGGGCAUCAGGGAGCCAAGUGUGACAUGGUGCCUACAAAGCACCAUAUGCUCUUGCUCUCACAACCCUGGGAACACACUCACCCUGCAGGUGCCACUGCCAAACGCUCUGGGCAGUGCCCAGACACUUUGUCACUAUCUCUUCCCAAGACCAUACAAUUAGGAGCAGCAACUGCAGCACCCCCUGUGAAGUCUAAGUGGGACAGGGUGCUUCUUGCAUGGCCUUCAGGUGAAGGGAACAAACCACCACAGUUAUCUGUGACUCCAGAGGUAGGUGUGGCCCAUCACUGGGGAUACCUCAACAAAAAUCACUCGUAGCCUCAGCCACCUCAGAGGGCAUCACAGAGAAGGACAUUAUGAUGGAACACCAACUGAUGUUGCCAUUGCUCACGUGGGGGAACACCCCCCUGUUGAUGCCACUGCCAAAUGUUCUGGGCAGUGCCCAGAUGCUUGAUCACUGUCCCAUCUCAGGAAUAUGCAACUAGGGGCAACUUGUGCAGCACACCCUGUGGGGGCUAAGCAGGAUGAGGUGCUUCUUGCAUUGCCUACAGGAGGUGGGGCCAAACCACCACUGUUAUCUCUGGCUCUAGAGGUGGGAGUGGCCUGUCACCAUAAACAUGCACUGCUUGUAGCCCCAAUCGCCUCAAGGGCACCACAGAGGAGGGCAUUGUGAUUGAAAACCACAUGUUAGUGCUCUCACACCCCUGGGAGCACACCAGCCAUGCUGCUGCCACAGCUGAAUGCUCUGGGAAGUAAUCAUAUGCCUUAUCUCCGUCACUUCCCAGGAUCCUACAACUAGGAACAGCCUGUGCAGCACCUCCUAUGUGGGCUAAGUGAGGCAGAUCGCUUCAUGCAUGGUCUAUACAUAGUGGGGGCAAACCACCACAGUUAUCACUGACUCUAGAGACAGUCAUGGCCUGUUAGCACUAGGGGCCCCUGAACAGGCACCACUUGCGGUUCCAAUCACUUCAGAGGAGGGCAUUGCAAACAAACACUAGCCAUUGUGGUUCUCUCUCCCCUGGAAAAUCAUGAACACUGCUGCUGCUACUGCCAAAUGCUCUGGACAAUUUGUAGAUCUGCCUAGAGCUCAUAACCACUUCCUGGAGCCCUGCAACUAGGAGUAGCCAGUGCCACCUUCCUUCAGGUCUUUGUUGCUGUUGAGAGCCCAGCAACCAGGCACCAACUGCUGGCCCUACCCAUUGCCUUCUUCUCCCUGAAAACACACUGAGCACCUGGGAGAUGACAACCUGCUCACACUGAAGAAAGAAACACCAAAUAUUCAAAUUCCACACCAAAAACAAAUAGUAACCCCACCAAAAAAAUACAAAGGGGUGCUCUUGCCUAUAAGUGGCCUUACAAGACUACAGUUGGGCUUCUGCAAACUCACAGAAAAAGAAAAACAUAAGCAAGAUGAAGAAGAUCAUAAACCAUUUCCAGUUAAAGGAACAGGAGAAUUCACUAAAAUUACUGAAAAAUGAAACAGAUCUAUGCAGUCUGACAGACAUUGAGUUCAAAAGGGAGAUAGUGAAAAUACUGAAAGAAUUAGGCUGAAUAUCAAGGAACCAGGAGAAGACAAGAACAGUAAUGCCAAAUCCCCUAGAAUGGAAUUAGAAAAUAUAAGGAGGAGCCAAGAAAAGCUAGAAAACACAUUUGCAGAGAUGCAAACUGAGCUAAGGGCAAUAAAGAGCAGAUUGAAUCAUGCAAAGGGACGAAAUGGUGAUGUAGAAGAUAGAAUAAUGGAAAUCACCCAAUCAGGACAGUAGACAGAAAAGCAAAUGAAAAAACAUGAAAGCAAUAUAAGAGCCCCAUGGGAUAAUACAAGGUGAGCCAAAAUACAAAUAAUAGGAAUUCCAGAAGAAUAAGAAAAAGAAAAGGGGAUUGAAAAUAUAUUUGAAGAAAUUAUGUCUGAAAACUUUCCAAAUCUAAAGGAAACAAAUUUCAAGAUACAAGAAGCACAAAGGCC
rnacentral:lncRNA from 1 species